rnacentral:rRNA from 2 species
AUUGAACGCUGGCGGCAUGCCUUACACAUGCAAGUCGGACGGCAGCGCGGGAGCAAUCCUGGCGGCGAGUGGCGAACGGGUGAGUAAUACAUCGGAACAUGUCCAGUAGUGGGGGAUAGCCCGGCGAAAGCCGGAUUAAUACCGCAUACGAUCUAUGGAUGAAAGCGGGGGAUCGCAAGACCUCGCGCUAUUGGGGUGGCCGAUGGCGGAUUAGCUAGUUGGUGGGGUAAAGGCCUACCAAGGCGACGAUCCGUAGCUGGUCUGAGAGGACGACCAGCCACACUGGGACUGAGACACGGCCCAGACUCCUACGGGAGGCAGCAGUGGGGAAUUUUGGACAAUGGGGGCAACCCUGAUCCAGCAAUGCCGCGUGUGUGAAGAAGGCCUUCGGGUUGUAAAGCACUUUUGUCCGGGAAGAAAUCCCCUGCCCUAAUACGGCGGGGGGAUGACGGUACCGGAAGAAUAAGCACCGGCUAACUACGUGCCAGCAGCCGCGGUAAUACGUAGGGUGCGAGCGUUAAUCGGAAUUACUGGGCGUAAAGCGUGCGCAGGCGGUGAUGUAAGACCGAUGUGAAAUCCCCGGGCUCAACCUGGGAACUGCAUUGGUGACUGCAUUGCUCGAGUAUGGCAGAGGGGGGUGGAAUUCCACGUGUAGCAGUGAAAUGCGUAGAGAUGUGGAGGAACACCGAUGGCGAAGGCAGCCCCCUGGGCCAAUACUGACGCUCAUGCACGAAAGCGUGGGG